CAGUGAUUCUGGCAUCUCCUUUAAAAAAAAAAUCUGCUCUGUGUAUCAUUCAUUUUAAUAACAGCAGACUCUCUCUUGCUGUGAGCUUUAUUUACCGAUUGGCUCAAUGUAAUCUAGAAAAACUCUACUAAUGAUCAAAUACUGUGUUAGGCACACAGGAAUCAACAAUAUGAGGACAAGGAACACUUGGCCUCACAGAAGAGACAAGCUCCUAGGAAAGUCGGGUAUUCCAGUUCACAGCUGCAACAUGCGGUGAACUGUGUAUUGAGAUGCAGCAUAUUCAAUGAAAAUGUUAACAAAAUGGUCUCUGAUUUGAAACUGGCAAUGAUUUUGUCUGCUUGCAGGAGUUAGGGAUGAUCUCAAAGCAAUAAAGUUUGUUAGUGUUUGGGAGAUAAAUCCGGGUUGACCAGGUUGCUCACGUGGGCAAAAGGGUUUUCCAGUUAGAAAGAAGUCGCAAGUUAUGUUGAGGAUAUUGAUUUGCAGUAAUAGGGAUAAAAUAAUCCUAGAAAUUAAUGAAUCCGAUUCUAUUAUAUCACAGGUGAGAAAGCUGAGGCCCAUUCAAACUUAGUGACUUGCCUGGAUCCAGUAAGUUAAUUAUUAGUAUAAGCAACCUUAAAAAAUGUCCUCGGUCACCAGAUAAGGCUCUGUCCAAUGUCCUUACUGCGUCUCUGCUGUUAUUGACCUGCUAUUCUUCCUCUGGUCAUGUACUGCUAUGCCUUUCCAGUCUCCGAUCUCCUCUCAGAGUCCUGCUGAUUUAUGUGCUCUUGCUAUGAUUUCCUAAGCUGUCAAUUCUCUGAACCUAGCUCUCUGUUCUCCAUCUUUCCAGAUGUUGCUUGAAGCCAAUCCGAAGGCAUUCAUGGACAGAUCUUCCUCAGUGGUUUAUACAUAGUCUAUAUAUUGUGUUUUAACUAAAAUAUUUUUUACAUGUUAAAAGCGGGAGAUACACACAAUACAUAGUUAGAAGCAGGCAAAAAGAAAAAGAAAAGAACUCAUAGCCUUACUACCCAAAGAGUAUCUCUGUUAACAUGUUGGUGUAGUACAUCCUUCCAAAUAUUUCUCUUCUACAGUUUUAAAUUAUAUAUUUGAGGUACUAAUUUCCACUUUUCCAUUUCCUUGAAUGUUAUUCUUUAAAUAUUUAUUUCAUAUUCAAACUCCCCUUUGUUUCUGAAAUUUCUCUGGUAGUUGAUUUUUUCCUGCCCAGAUGCUGUCUAUGACAUCUUUUUGCAUCGGGUUAACAUUAUACUUAAAUCUCCUUUAAUCUAGGGCAGUUUAUUACGUUUUUCUGUCAUUGACUUACUGAAAGCAUCAGGCUUAUUGUACUCCACAUUAUUCCAACGUCUCAAUUUUCCAAACUGGUUAUUUGAAGUAAUGCUUCAUGGAGUUCCCAGUAAUGCCUGGGACCAUAAGCACGAGCUACCAUGCUCAGGGCAGCACAGCCUCGGGCUGCAGGGCUACAGGUCAGCAGAGACACUGCUCUCCCUCUGCCUCUCCUCCUGUGACUAUGUCCACUUCAUAUCGAUGGGAGACAUUGAAGAGCAGUGAGUAGAAAUGUGGGCCAUCAUUCAUGUAUCCUCUAAAUUCAGCAUUUUCUGUACAAUGGACAUUAGUUCUAAAAAAAGAAAAA
ensembl:lncRNA